rnacentral:rRNA from 1 species
AAUAUUGCACAAUGUGGGGAACUCUGAUGCAUCAACGCCGCGUGAGUGAAGAAGGUUUUCGGAUCGUAAAACUCUGUUGUUAGGGAAGAACAAGUACCGGAGCCACUGCCGUUACGUUGACGGUACCUGACGAGACAACCACGCCUAACUCCUGCCCAGCAGCCGCGGUAAUACGUAGGUGGCAAGCGUUGUCCUGAUUUAUUGGGCUUAAGGCGCGCGCAGGCGGUCUUUUAAGUCUGAUGUGAAAUCUUACAGCUUAACUGUAAGCGGUCAUUGGAAACUGGGAGACUUGAGUGCAGAAGAGGAGGGUGGAAUUCCAUGUGUAGCGGUGAAAUGCGUAGAGAUAUGGAGGAACACCAGUGGCGAAGGCGACUCUCUGGUCUGUAACUGACGCUGAGGCGCGAAAGCGUGGGGAUCAAACA